GCAGAGGCUUGCGCUUGGUGCGGCCCAGAACACGGGGACUUGAACAUUCACUGUCCAACACUCACGGGGCGGCUUCUGUGACGUGUCAGCUUUGGAGAAAAGUGUGUCCUCCUGCAAGGGUCAGGAGAGGGUUGCAGGGUUGAAGGACGUCCCAGUGACAUUUCUGAGUCUUGCAGCCUGCGGGGGUCCACGUGGUUACCCCGAACAGGAACAUGCGGGCGCUUUCCGGGAUCUGGCAAGCCUGCACAGCAGUUUUGCGUUUACAUUCCUUGUUCUGUUUUUAAGGAUAAAGCAAAUUGAUGCCAACUGGUGACAGAUGUUUUUCAGGCCUAAUAAAUAUAUCUGCAUUUUGUACCAUGCCACACCUCGUAUUAAAACAAGCUUUUCAGAGAGAGAUGGUCGGUGCUGUGGUCGGUCGGUCCCCUCCGCCAGCCCGUGGCCGAAGGCGUGGAGAGCAGGCUGCCUGCGCGGGGCUCUGGGAGGAAGUGCGCCUGUUCGUCUCGGCUUAGAGGACGGUAAAUUUACAUGCACACACACAACUCCAUAAUUAUAGGUAGGCUUUUUUGUUUUUCCAUUUUACUGCUCUAAGAAAACCCCGAAGUUCAGUUCACGGUAACAGGAACACGAGGCUGCGCGAACCCAGCUUUAUGGAGAGAAGCUGGGCUCUGUGUGAACAGGAAUCUGUGGAGAAGCCACGGCCUUUGCCAGCUUAUUUGCUGCUUCUCUGUGGACAAUGUGCCCUGCUCCUGGGUGUCUACAGACCCCUCGGGACUGCCCCGGGGUGUCUCCUGUGAGCACAGGGAGGGAUUUUCGGGGUUCCUGAGGCCAGAGCGCUCACAGCGUUUCCAGGCACUUCCGAGCCCCUGGAGGCACUGCCUGGCCUGGUGCCUGGCAGCCCCUGGUUUGGCGAUGACUGCAUCUCAUGUGGCACUUGCUUUGGGGAUGACACACGAGGAAGAUUCAUCUGGGGGUGCAGUGAUGUCACACGUGGCCUCACGCUGAGGGGACCUUGUUUGUUUAGUCCCGGAGGACCUAUCAGACCCCAAGUGACAUCGCCGACUGGAGAUCCCUGCACACCCUUUGGGCCAGGCUCAGCCAACCGACUGGGGAGGAGGGAGGCUCUGCCAGGCCUGGGCUUCAGCCUGCUUUGCCUCUAAACCUUGGUGUUAAAAACGAAAACUGUCAGUGCAGACGAAACUCCAGCAAACACAAGACAGGAGCAGAGUUGUUCUGGUCUGGUGCUCAAAGAGCCCCGGAAACAGUCGCUGACACCACUGCCAACUCCAGCUGCUGGGGCCUGCCUCACCCAGCAGGGCCCUUGGUGCCUCAGGGUGCCACACUUGAGCCUGAACGAGCAGAGAAAAACAAGAGUGCGUUACUGACUUCAGAGGUGAGCACCGGGGCUGUUCCAGACAUCACGGCUGCCGGGGAGAAGGCCACCUCGUCCCACCCCACAGGGCCUGGGAGCCCCCAGUCCUUCCUGAGAAUCCAGCUUUAGGAUCUGGCUCCAACCCCAGGGUGAAGGCCAGGAAUUCCGUGCCCGCCGGCACACACCUCCUCGCCUCCAUGGAACACUCAUCUGCCUGCCACAGUAAGGCUUGCACAGCAGAGCAGAGCAGGCCUGGCUGCAGGGCUGACUUCGGGGCCGGCCUAGGUACCAGGAGGACCACUUGGCACCCAGCUGUGUGGUUAACACUGGGGCCCAGCCUAGGUCCUAGAAGGACCCCUCAGCGCCCGGCCUCAGCACUAGAAGGACCCCUCAGCGCCCGGCCUCAGCACUAGAAGGAUCCCUCAGCGCCCGGCCUCAGCACUAGAAGGAUCCCUCAGCGCCCGGCCACAGGGUCGAACUCAGGGCCCGGCCUUGGCAGCAGCAGGACCCCUCAGUGCCCGCUCAGGCGGCUCCCUAUUCUCUAACGGGCCCACUGGCCUGCGGGGUUGCCCCGAAGCUCUUCAGUGGUCAGGGAAGGGACUCUGUCCUCACUGUCAGGUCAGCACUGCCAGGAUCUGUCACAUGCGCGGACACUCACGGCUUCAUGCUGAAGAGGUCUUUGAACCCAGACAGGCUGGUGUCUCUGUUCCUGUACUUCUCGGCAAUCAGCUUCUCCCUGGUCCAGGUCAUCUGCACCUUGUCUGGCGUAGGCGGCGCUUGGGUCCUGGCCGCUGCUGCGGUGUGGGACGCACUGUUCCUGUCGUGGAUCAGCUGGGCCUGGUGGGACCGGGAUUCGUUGAGACCAGCCAGUCUCAAAACUCCCCCGGGCGAGAACGACCCAGGACGCCAGGCCAGAGGCGAGGCCAGCCCACAGAACCAGAAGGGCCCUGCGUGCCUGACCCGGGACCCAGCCUGGCUUCCCACACUGGCCCUGCGCCGCUCCCGCGGCUGCCUCCCUCCUCCCAGGCUUCCCGACCAAACGCUCACUUCCUCCUCCCAUCUUCACCCCCUCACCGUCCCGCCCUGGCCCUGAACUGGAGAGAAAGGCCCCACGACCCCGUGCUGACAGGAGGGGACACGUGCUGGGAGUCUCCCCCUACCUGGCGGGGCUCCACACACACUGUGUUCGCCCGAGACCACCCGCUCGCCCACACAACCGGCAUGCAGGCGUCCCUGUCUCAGGGAGGCUCGGGGCAGGUGGGGCCGUGCCAGCAUCCAGGCCCUGUCCCAGGGAAGCAGGCUGUGUCUGACCAGCCAGGGGACGUUUGGGGGCCAGCCAGGCUGACUGGGGCCCUGUGGGGCACCGUUGGGGCCAAUGACAGGGCCGGCCCCAUAGGUCACUUCGGAUAAUCCAAGGAAAAUGAGAACACCGUCCGCCCCUCGCUGUAGGCACCGAAGGGGAAGUGGUGCCCUCACUGCGAGGUCGCACCAACGGCACAGUCCCUGGUGGUUGAACACCCUCCACGGGGUCCUCCCUCCCUCCCUGUACCCUUCACGCCCUCCUGCUGUUGUGGCCAGUCUGAAGGGGAGGCCAGUGGGAGCUCCCAGACACGGGUGCCACCUUGGAAGUGAUAUUUACACAUGUGCCGGAAUGGCCACCUCUCCCACCGUGGCUGGAGCCCUGCCUGAGUCUGUGCCGCAGCCCGGGGGAGCCGCUCAUCCCGGGGGCUUCAGGAGUCUGUGAGCCCCGGGAUGAUUUUAAAAAGCCAAAGGCCCAGAGUGAUUUCACUGGACCAGGUUCUUCCUCCCCAAAUAAACAUGCUUAACUUG